rnacentral:rRNA from 1 species
UCUGGCUCAGAUUGAACGCUGGCGGCAUGCCUUACACAUGCAAGUCGAACGGCAGCACGGAGCUUGCUCUGGUGGCGAGUGGCGAACGGGUGAGUAAUAUAUCGGAACGUACCCAAGAGUGGGGGAUAACGUAGCGAAAGUUACGCUAAUACCGCAUACGAUCUAAGGAUGAAAGCAGGGGAUCGCAAGACCUUGUGCUCCUGGAGCGGCCGAUAUCUGAUUAGCUAGUUGGUGAGGUAAAGGCUCACCAAGGCAUCGAUCAGUAGCUGGUCUGAGAGGACGACCAGCCACACUGGAACUGAGACACGGUCCAGACUCCUACGGGAGGCAGCAGUGGGGAAUUUUGGACAAUGGGGGCAACCCUGAUCCAGCAAUGCCGCGUGAGUGAAGAAGGCCUUCGGGUUGUAAAGCUCUUUUGUCAGGGAAGAAACGGUUNUGGCUAAUAUCCAGAGCUAAUGACGGUACCUGAAGAAUAAGCACCGGCUAACUACGUGCCAGCAGCCGCGGUAAUACGUAGGGUGCAAGCGUUAAUCGGAAUUACUGGGCGUAAAGCGUGCGCAGGCGGUUUUGUAAGACUGUCGUGAAAUCCCCGGGCUCAACCUGGGAAUGGCGAUGGUGACUGCAAGGCUAGAGUUUGGCAGAGGGGGGUAGAAUUCCACGUGUAGCAGUGAAAUGCGUAGAUAUGUGGAGGAACACCGAUGGCGAAGGCAGCCCCCUGGGUCAAAACUGACGCUCAUGCACGAAAGCGUGGGGAGCAAACAGGAUUAGAUACCCUGGUAGUCCACGCCCUAAACGAUGUCUACUAGUUGUCGGGUCUUAAUUGACUUGGUAACGCAGCUAACGCGUGAAGUAGACCGCCUGGGGAGUACGGUCGCAAGAUUAAAACUCAAGGGGAAUUGACGG